GGGUUCGUAGCUCAGUGGAUAGAGCGUCUGUCUCCGGAACAGAAGGUCGUGGGUUCGAUCCCCAUCGAGCCCACCA
rnacentral:tRNA from 1 species